rnacentral:lncRNA from 1 species
AGGAGCCGGCUAUAAAGAUAGCUCGAACCAAAACGAGCUUGGCCAUCCACGGCUGAGGAAUAAUGUCCACACCAUCAACACCGUAGUACAAGGGUGAAGAUCCAUGUAAAAUGACUAGCUUAUAAAUAUGCAAAACCAGCACGAUGUACAAGUGAAGCGCCCAGUGCACAAGUUCACGCCAAAUACAAAAAAAAAACCCAGCACAUUAACAUACCUGCGAAGCACCGCGCAAGGACCCACUAGUCAUAUUCUGCUCACAAAAGAAAUCGCAAUCACAUCGCUAAAAAGUCGUCACAACACAGGAAGUGUAAAGUCUCUCGUCCAUGGCCAUUGCACGUCUCAACCCAGCAUCUCCAAGAUAACCUAAAAGGUCUCCUAAUACCCUUAUUGCUUGCCUCAGAUAGCUAUCCUCCAAUAACUAACAUUAGCUCCCUUGGAAUAGUUACUGAAUGAAUUCUUACACAAAGGAAAAUAUCAAACAAAUUACUCCUGACAAGUCAUGGCGCUUGUUUGCUCCAAGCUUCCCAUCUCCCUCUCCCUCUUUUCUUUUCUGGACACGGGCUGGAGUAGCGCGCCCAUCUUUCUCUCUCUGUUAUCACUUCUGGACACACGCUGGCGUAGUGCCCCUUGCUCCUACACUUAUGGCAAGUAACUAAAGCCCUUCUCUUCAUGAUGAUUUCCUGGACAGCCUUCUUCAUUCCUUUCCUCUGUUGCUGAACCACUUCUUGUGUCGUGGUGAGUAGACGACACUGGGCUGGAUUGUGGUUAGUCCCUUCACACAUGAAACAGGUGACUCGCGUAGUGGGACAUUCUUCACCCAAGUGACUCGCUUCACAAUAGGGGCAUCCAUCUUGGUGUUCCUUAUCGGUGUGUCCUAUUUCUCCACAGAUUUUGCAUGCGCGGUGCAUCUUCAUGCUUCGAUCAGAGGAAUCCGAGAAAAGAUUGUUUGUUGGUGCUCAGAUUCUAUGGGUGUAUAGGAGGGGAUUUCCCAUCAGUGAUCACUGCACCAAAAAAUGGUUCAAAUCGCUAAAUCAGCAGUCCCACAAGAACUAGAAUUAUACAGACAACAAAAAGCAAACAAAAGAAACCUAUAUAACAGAGAUUAAACUGGAAUUUGGGGGCAAGCGUAACCAAAGAUCCAUCUAGACAGAUUUGCACUCUAAGCGCCACCCGGUUUACCUCUUGGGAGCAUUGUAAACUCAGAUGCACCAAGAGAAUGGCGGCCAAACAAUGGGACAGUGAUUCCCAAGUCAAACAAAUGAAACACUAACACAUAAAAAUGAAAGCAUCAAAGAGGAGUCUUAGGCGGCAACUGCUAUUGUUUUGAGAAAAAAAACAAGUUUUAAAUUUAUCAACAUUUGCAAUGCAAAGAAUAAGUGAAGACAGCGAAGUAAAAUAGAAACAAAUGGGGAUGUUAACAAGGCUCAGAAGAAAUUAGCAGCAUUAACUCUAAAGUCUGGCUGGGCAAAAGCUCUUAGGCGGCAACUGCGAAUGUUUGAGAAACAAGCCUUAAAUUUAUCUCAUCGCCAUAACAUAUCCUCAAAUCAUAUUGACCACAACUUGUUAGCUAGUCGUAACAAAAUUUAAUCACAAUAAACGGUUCAGUAGACCAACCAAAAUACAGUCUCAGGUUACUACCAACAAAAAAUUAGAUACAAUGCAAAAAACAGAGCAAACAAGAUCAAAGAGAAUCCCUCAGAGACCCACUUAAAAUCACGCACACAGCUGAACCAAACCAGCUGCAAAUGGAAAUUCCAGCCCACAAACAACAAAGGUUAUGGGCGAAGGAGGACACUUGCAGUGGAGAGAAGCAGCCGUUGUUUACAGUGUCCUACGGCACUUCCUAUGGUCUGAGAAUCUUCACCAGGAUAAUUUAAGAAUGGACAAAAUUAACUAUACAAACUAUACUAGGACCUGAAGCUAUUGGUAUUAAGCCUCAGAAAGCCGCAAAAAUAUCGUCAUUCAGAAUCUGACGGUAAUUCCAACAAAAAGCUAAUCAUCAUGGGCUUCAAUUGCAUUAUAGCUCCAAAUAAAAUCGGUGGAAACAAGGCAUAUCAUCAGAAUAUAAAUGCCUUCUCAUUCACAGGUAAAUAAGCACUGUGUCAGAAGGUGUCUUAAGAUUGUUUCAAGGUUUCAUCCCAUGAGACUAACGGAAUAAAGAAGCAAAACAACGGAAACGCUGAUCUCUAAUGGAUUCAGUUGCAAAGAUGACAUCAUAUGGGUGGCUCAAGCAACCCUCGGAUCAAGUGUUGGAUUAUGCAUCAAUACCUCCUCACGAUCCAAACAGAUCUUGUAAGAAGCAAACGAUGAAUAACAGUGAAGAAAGAUACAUAGUUGCUCAGUGGUGGCAAUGUUUAAUUGGUUCGAUUCUGCCAGCGAUGUCGUCAAUGCUUUCAGAAGAGGGAGCUUGUUAUCCUCAUCGCAACUAAGUCCUCCAAAGCAAACACACACAUCAAACACACGAAAGGGGAAACAACAAUGGAGGGCGGACUAACAAAAUCAAGUAUCAGAUGGCUUGGUUCAGCGGGAUAAUCGGCAUACAAAUCAACUCCUGAGAGAAAACCUGCGAUUGGUCUGUUGAGCUUGAAAUUUGCAAAUCGUCACCGCAAUCAUCCAAGGAAAAGAAAAGUCCAGAAAGAGUAUCGAACCAAAUGAGGAAGGUUCACACUAAUCAUCAAAGGCUUCACGAAAGCACGAUAUCUCAAAAAUAAAAUUCCUGUUUUAUUUUGAACAACUAACAGUACCGAUUUAAGCAUAGCACCAUACAACCACUAUGCAGUCAAAUUUCAUCUACAGAGUUAGAUUCAUAAGUAUGUCAAUCGACACAGAUCCACCGAAGCAGAUCCUAAGACUGGUGCGACAAAUAUGAACUCAUCAUUCUCAUAGCUACAAUAUAGCCAAUUCAAAAUUGGCUAACUAUGCUCCUCAAUCAUUCCAACUAUACCUGCUCUGUUUUAUCUCAAUUCGUAUCAUCUUGUACUCUACAUAAUUAUUACAGCUGGUACUACAUGAAAGUUCUAAAAGGAUUUCAAAUUGUCCAACAAUUUGUGAAUUGCUAUCUUACAAACAGGUUCUUAGUUUAUAUAUUUAAAGAAUACCUGGAAGACAUCUCACAAUGACGUCAAGCAAAAGUCAACGGAAAGGAGCUCAGUAAGGAAGUAGCAAUUGAUAAUCACACCAGAUAGUUCAUAGUGAGUGAAUUUUCGCAUCAAUGCUCAAAAUCCAAGCAAAAAAAAACUUCAAUUUAGGAUAUGGUUUCUCAUGUGCAGUUAGAAUUGAAACUACACGAGCAAGCUAAAGGUCGUCAGCUAGGAGCUAAAGACUUUUGUUUACUGAACUACAAAAACAAACAUAUUUGGGCCUCAUUGUUAAUUAUACUUUCCUCAUUAAGGGAAUUGAAUUGAAACAUAUGCUUGUCUAUUACUCCUAGACAAUCAAUAAAAAGAAUUCACAUGUCAAACUCAGAAUAUGGGUGGUUAUACAGCGGGAUGGUCGGCAAGGGAAAUGAAUGCCAGUUACGACGAAUGAGACCAAAUAUCAAUCGUCACCAGCCUCAAACCGGAUGCAAAAACAGGUAAAAUCCCUCAAAGUAGAACGCAGAGAGAGGAGAGGGGGGAGGGAACCUGUUGAGACGGGAGGUGGCGGCGUGGGGAAGGUCUCUUCGCUGGUGGUUAGGGUUUCGUUUCGCAGAGGUGCCCGGCCCGGCCGACCCAUGCCGUGGCCCCCCUUCAAGUGGGCUCUAGCCUAUCGCGGGUAACCUGGUGUAAUCUGCUCGGCCCAUAGACCACGACCGAUGGGGCCCACGAACCCAUCGCUUUUAUUUUUAUUUCUGUCUUUGAGUGCCGGUAAAUUGAAUUUAAUUGUUUUUAUCCAUUUAUGUAUUUCUCAUGCCGCAGAAGAUUUUUUUAUAACUGAUCCUACAUAUGACAUUUCUUGGCUGUUCAUAUUUCAAACUCCAGUUUUUAAGUUCAUUUGUAAGAUGAAGUUAAAAAUGUGUAUGGUAUAUUUGACUCCCAAAUUAGCGGUGCCGCCGCGGUAAGCUCAUAGUGUAUGCAUUUAUGCUUCCAUUUUUUCAGGCUGGAUUGUUUGUGUUCAAUUUGCACAAGAGUACCAAGAGGAGAGGUUAGUGGCACCUGCUUAGAUUUUCAUUCGAUUGUAUUUGUUUAGAAUCAAUUGCACUUCCUCCAUUCCUAAAUAUUUGUCUUUUUAGAUAUUUCAAAUAGACUACCACAUACGGAUGUAUGUAGACAUAUUUUAAAGUGUAGAUUCACUCAUUUUGCUCCAUAUGUAAUCACUUGUUAAAAUCUCUAGAAAGACAAAUAUUUAAGAACAGAGGGAGUAUGUAUCUAUUGGGUUUUUGAUUUUCUAUACCCUCGAUCUAGGUUCUUUACCAGAUCUUUUUAUCUAUUACAUUUUUUACCAGUACCUUUUACUGCAAUGUGGAGGUACUUUGCAAUCUGAUCCACCUUCAUGUUUUGUGGAGUUUGCAAAUGUCUCAGAUUUUAGUUUCCUCUAGCUUUGAAUGAAACAAAAGAGAAGACACGCAUUAUUUUAGUUUCCUCUUCCCUUGGAGGUUUGAUGUCCUCUUCGUUUCAGAUUAGGCAUUAGUUUAAGAUUUGGUGGAAAUUUGCCAAAACCAGUGUAAGCUUCAGCUUAUUUUGGUGUUGCUUACAAGCGAAGAACUACAAAUAUUAUUCAUCUCCAUGCCAUUUGUUUCUUUUUCCUUAUAAAGAACUUGUUUCUUUUCUAGAUUAUGGUGGUGUUCAGUUCAUGCUCCCACAAAGGUCAGUGUUGAAGCAUCGAUCUUUUGCAAGAUUUGCAACCAUACCUAAACAAAUUUAUGAAUAAGAUGUAUUUAUAAUGGAGGCAUGGUCCGAGAUUGUAGCUGCAACUCAUGGAUGCAAACAAGGUUAGGAGUACCCUGUGAAUUGACAGCACCACUUUGAGUUGCUUUAUAAUUUUUUGCGAGUGAGUUCCUUUAUUUAUAAAGGCAGUGGUGUUGGAUCUUGUUGGGGGGAAAAUCAGCAUGCAGACUCGCAGGGGGCUAUAAGAAAAUUAUCUAAUGACAUUGCAAAUCUGAUAGAGGUUGGCUGACUAGGAAGCCUUUCUUUUUCAACAAUAAGAUUAGCAUAAGUAAAAUUCUAUGCACGAUGAUAGGCAUGAUACUUGUUGACUCCCUUGUUGGGAUCUACGGUAGGGUGCGUCGACUGCAAAUUUAAAAUUUUUCUACGCGCAGAACAACCAAGAAUAUGCUACGGGAAAUGGAUCACAGUUUGUUACCACUAGACGCGCAGUACCGUGUAGCGGAAGAAGAGUUGGGACAGCGCGUCCGCGUGGAUCGUCUCCUCCUCGUACGAGUCGUCGGUCCCACGUACAGAUUCGCCGGAGCGGCGCAAGUGCACCGCCUUUAACGGUAUCCACGCAUGCAGGAGGAACAUCGUGCGGCGGACUGCUAGGUCCGGUCACACAACCAGCGGCGAGUGGAGGUAUCUAUUCAUAACACAUGCAAACCCUAGUGACAGUGCCGAAGUGAUCAACCGCAUGAGUUUGCCGCACCCCACUUUAUAUAGGUGUCCGUCGCGGGCUCAAUACUUGGGCCUCGCACGAACCCUAAAGCCCUUAAGUCUACCCGGCCACAAUCCGAAUACAGCUCAGAUCACAUCCGACCAGUGUCCUCGGAUCCGACCUCGUAGGUUCCUUCCCUUAAGCGCGCGACCCCUUAGAUUCAAGCCGGCUUGGUCGCAAUUCGGAUCACAUCCGGACUACAUGACUGGUAGCGGCCUCUAGCAAGGCGUGCCGACCACCAAGCUGACGAUGAAGCUGGUUAGACGAACAUGUACAUCACACUUCCAUUCCUUUUGCCACACGAUAUAUGUUGUCGGGCUCAAGGCGAGUCUGCCAUCCUUGUGCUAGCCCGACCUCUUUCUCGUUCCAGUGAUGCCGACCACAAACCAGAUUAUCUCAUAAUCCUUGUCGCAUGGCCAUGCUUAUCCUGGUCGGAUCACACGAGGGGCCCAGAUUAUAUCUCUCCUUAUCGGAGGGGCAAAUCCCAUAUUGCUCGACCAUGUCUCGCAGCAUGGGUCUGGACAAGCCCGUAACCUACCUUUGUAACUAUCCAGUCACGGAGUAGCGUUUGGUUGGCCCAAAGCAAGUCUGUUACUAUACCAAGUACAUGCACCAGCUCAGGUCUUAGGACAUAGAACGUAUGUUGUACUAGAGACUCACAGAUGACAUAUCGUUGCGUCUCAUAGUUGGGUCUGUCCGACUCGGACCUUAUCUCAACUCGGAUCCGACUAUGUUGAAUCCGACCAGAUCCUUCUGAGUCCAUAUUAUCCGGUUAGCAUCCAAUGCCCCAAGGCUAGUGAGACCAAGCCAUCGACCGUGUCAUAUGAUAGUCUAGUUGGCUGCGCGUCCACACAGUCCUUUCGACUAGGGACCUUUUAGGACGUUCAACAUACAAUGCAUAGUCCCACAAACAAGUCACGUACUUGCUGAUACACAUCAUUGAUAAUGUUCAAGGACUAUCUUUAUUCAUAAACACAUAGGAAAUAUUAUCAUACAUGAUUGCCUCUAGGUCAUAUCUCCAACAUCCCUUCAUCAAAACUUUUUUUAUAGUGCCAGAUACGGUGCAUGAAUGUUGAUUCUCAUAAUACCACUUGUGGUGCACUUGCUCAACUACAUCGAGAAGGAAGCUAGAGAAAACAUCAAUGAGAAUUGCAUAAGCUUAUUAGUGAUUACUAAGAUAAUUUCUUGUGUUGUUACUCUAUGCAUACAAUGCUAAAUUAUAGCGUCUCUUGGAACUCGAUUAAAUUAUAGAUGAUUUGUAGUAUGUUUAGUGUUAUCAUGAUGUUUUCUCUAUGCACGUGAAUUCUCAUAUAGGGUUGUAAUAUUUGUCGAGGCGUGCGUGCACAUGCACACUUACUAGUCCCUUUAACAGUAGGUAUAUAUGAUCGACUUCUGAUUCCACACACAAACAGUAUGGACUAUGGAACUUGGGUCGGGAUCUUGCUGUUCAGACUACAUCUCAAUGUUCACAAAUUUUAAGAACAAUUACGAAUUUGAGAAAAAAUACAAAAAAUGUAAAAUGUUUAUGAAUUAAAAAAUAUUCACCAAUUUAGAAAAAAAAUCCAUGAAUUUAAAAAAGCAUUCAUCAAAGGAAAACAAUUUGCAAAUUUUUUAAAAUGUGUGUGAAUUUAAAAUAUGUUCAAAAUUUUAGAAAUGUGUUCAUGAAUGGAAAAAUAGAAAAGGAAAAAAUGGUAGAAAUGGAAAAAAUAAACAAAAAUAAAGAGGAAAUGAAAGAAAGAGAAAAAACUUAUGAGAAACCAGAAAACAUCACAAAAACACAUAUUACAGAAAAUCAAUUAAAAACUUCCCAAAGCUUCCAAACCGGUGAGAGAAGCAUCGCAAAACCACUAUAGGAGUAAUUCACUCCUGAUAAUGGGCCGGCCCACCAAAACUGAUUGUAGUGAGUGAGUGCUAUCAUACGAGUUGCAAUAAGCGAUUUUAGCAAUUGAAAAAUGCUACUACGGUAAAGCAUAACAGUACUCCUUGGGACAAACUCCAAAAUUAUCUUAUGAAUCAUUUUGUGAGCAACACUAGAAAAAAGUGCUUGGGAGCUUCUAUCCCACCCAUAGAGCGCGGGAUAGCGAGCAAACUCAUGUGUUGUCGUGCUAGAAGCCAAAAUAGGCCGGGCACAUGUCAUGUACUAGGUUGAGACAAAAUUAGAAAGGUCCAAGUUGAACCAUUUAGCUCACUUCUCCUCACUCNNNNNNNNNNNNNNNNNNNNNNNNNNNNNNNNNNNNNNNNNNNNNNNNNNNNNNNNNNNNNNNNNNNNNNNNNNNNNNNNNNNNNNNNNNNNNNNNNNNNNNNNNNNNNNNNNNNNNNNNNNNNNNNNNNNNNNNNNNNNNNNNNNNNNNNNNNNNNNNNNNNNNNNNNNNNNNNNNNNNNNNNNNNNNNNNNNNNNNNNNNNNNNNNNNNNNNNNNNNNNNNNNNNNNNNNNNNNNNNNNNNNNNNNNNNNNNNNNNNGUACAUUUCUCUGGUUGCUUUUCUAUGGCGGUGGUGCUAGGUGCGGCGGCGGACACACGUGUUGGGGAUGUCCGUUGCAUAGUGAAGGUUGAGGAGGUGACGUGUUUGUGAUCUCCGAUGAGCGAGCGAUGGUUAAUGCGGCCUGUGGGGCCCGAUCUAGGCCCGUCUAGGCUGGUGCAUGGUUUGGCCUCCGACUCGCAGGCAUGGCCUCGGUGCUUAGAUCUAAGUGAAUAAGACAUGACGUACUAUACACCAUUGUAAGUGAAUAUUUGAAAUAAAGCCGCACCUACUAUUUACCUUGGUAUCUUUUCACUCUUUAUAUAUACUAAGAUGUGAGUGGUGACAUGACCCAUGUAUCCAAGCAAGCAAAUAUAGGUUGUUUCCUUAUUUGUUCAUCCAAACUUCGUAUCUUUAAGUGAGAAAAAAAUUGUUGUAAUUUCUAUUCUUGUGUGAUCAUGCUUUAGGGAUGAGCGGCAUUGGGAAAAAUAAUUCAACUGACUAAGCCCCACUCACAAGUCGAUUAUGUUUCAUUACUUUGUUGUACACCUUGGUGCAUGCUUGCACUAGUACCUGCAGCCUCUAAGCUCUACAGAGAUGGGGAGUUCUGACUACUUCUCUUGAUUUUUGGUGAGUGUCCCCGUCUUUUGAUUUACUUAGUGAUUCUCGCCCACCUAAUUGUUAGAAGCUGGCACGCAAUAAUAAUGACACUAGAAGGUGCACAUACCCUUGGUGCUGGAAUGUCACAAGGGCCACGACCAUCCUUGAUUGUCAAUGAUUGCAAGAGUUCCAUAAGAGUCCUAAUUUCUUGAAACAUGUUGCAUGUCAUACUAUUUUCCCUCUUUACACACACUAGAGAUGUGACCAAUGUAGCCAAGGAAAGAGACAUGCACAUUAUUUCUUUGGCUGUAUAGACAUACUUUGCUUCUUAUCUUUAGGUGAGAAUCACAAUUGUUGUUCUAACGUGAUCAUACUUUAGGAUGUGUGACAUUAGGAAAAAUAGUCCAACCGCAAGAGGAUCACGCAUUGUGAAACUCGAUUAUGUUUCCGUGAUUCGCUUCACUCCUUGGUGAAUCCUUGUACUAAUCCUACAACCUCUAAGCUCUAAAAAUGGGGAUUGUGGUUGAUCCUCAAUUCCUCACAUUCUUCAGUUGAUGUCGGCGCCUAUCGUUGAGUGAUUGUUGUGUCUCCGCCUAUGAAACCAAGAAGCCGACAUGCAAUAGCAGUAUGUGUAAGCGCCUCUUUGGUAUGCAAGAUUGGUAGGAAUAUGAAAAUCGUAGAUUGUAUGUCAUUGACUCAUUGUCAUAUCGAAUCUUGUAAGAGUUGAAAACACCAUGAAUCUAUUAUACACGGUGUUUAGUUGCUAUACAGGAAAAACUAUGGAAAUAACCUUCGAUGUGGGGUAUCUUUCACAUCAUGUGUUUUGCGUUACUUCACUCAGUUUUUUAGAGUAUUAUUGCCUUGUUUGAAUUUAUUCUUUCUUUCAAUUAUUUUGUUUGGUAUUUCCUUUGGAUUUUAAUUCAUAGAGAGCCCUCUAGCUAUCCUCUUCUGAUCACGUGGCCCAAAUAUUUUCCAAUGAUCGUGCCAUGUGGGUAGAGCCCAAAAAUGUCUAUACUGAAAUUUAUUUUGGGCAAAAAGCAAAUAAACCCUUUUUAGAAAAACCUAAAAAAUGAGGUUUGAACUAAAAGUAUUUAUCUUUCAGAACAGUAAUUCAUUAAAAAAUAUUUCCGGUGUCUAUUAUACUUCAAAAAUAUUUUUAAAAGUUUUUAGUUAUUUAUUUAAAAUCCUUUUGGAAAGGCCAGAAAUGGUAUUUAUAGGGUUAACAUAUUUAUUUUCCUCUAAAUUUUCUUUAAGAAUUUCCAAACUUUAUUUGAGCAUUUUCAACAGCAACAUGAGUUUUACCGCAUGUUCAUGUCCAAAAAUAUAAACAACUAAUUCACCCUCUCCUUUUCUCUCAGGACCAAGACUUUAAUUUUUUUGCUUACUCAUUAAAUCUGCACUGAAUUAAAUCAUAGUCCUAUCAUGUGCUACGGUUGCAUGAUAAAGAGAUGACGAGCCAUUAUAAAAACCUUGUGUUUCUUUCUGAGUUGUCAUCAUUCUAUAUACCAUGUGGGUCUUAUUUUUGCACUUUUUACGUGACAUCGUUUGGCCGUGUAUUUGUGGUUUGUGCUUUGUCUAUAAAAUGGAGUGGAAGCCUUUUUCGUGAACUAUGCCCUCCAAAGCAAACAAUAAAACAAAUAAUUUUUUUUACUAAAAAGCUCAUGAGAUAUUAGAUGUCUCAGUUCAGCGGGAUAAUCGGCAUACAAAUCAACUCCUGAGAGAAAACCUGUGAUUUGAUCUGUUGAGCUUGAAUAUUUGCAAAUCUUCAUUGCCAUUAUCCAAGGAAAAGAACAAUUCAAAAAUAAUACACGAUAUCUUAAUAUAAAAUCCCUGUUUUAUUUUGAUCAGCUAACAGUAUAUAAGUUAGCAUAGCACCAUACUAUGUAGUCAAAUUUUCAUCUACAGAGUCAGAUUCAUAAGUAUGUCAAUCAGCACAGAUCCACCCAAGCAGAACCUAAGAUGGGGGCGACAAAUAUGAACUCAUCAUCCUCAGAACUACAAUAUAGCCAAUUCACAAUCAGGUAGCUAUGUUCCUCGGUCAUUCCAACCAUAUGUAAGUAGGAGUUAUUGAGGCUCUCGCGACCGCGGCUGCGUUGGGUGAGCGCGCCGGCGGCGCUGCCUUGAUCUCCUCCCCGCAGCCUCCCCUGCGGCCGUCGGCACCGGAUCUGGAAUCUCCUCGGUGCUCUCUCUCUUCUCCCCCGCGAAGCUCCGCUGGGCGCCAUGGCUCCUCUCUCCCAGCCCGUGGGAGCAGCCAUGCCUGCAUUGGAACGCUCUGGCGACAACGGCCCUCCGCCCCACCAGCCCCCUGCGGCGGCCGCCGCUCCGUCCCCGUCGGCCUCCCUCACGGAUCCGCGCGUCCCCCGUAGCUCGCAGCAGCCUGCACCCGCGAGCAGGUUCAGAGCGGAGAAUGGGGGGCGUGCGCGGGUUCCCCGCGAGUCUCCUCCCCUACGCGGGUCGGUGGCCACCCGGCAGCCCUCCGUCUCUGGCGGCGCUUCCGGUCAGCUGCUGGAGUCCCAGGCUUUGAUCCCUGAGGCUCUCCUUGUUCUACCGGAUCUGGCGGCGGCCCCAACGCUACCUUUGCCACGUCAGGCGGGCCGAGUCCCUGCACCCGGCGUUGGCUUGGUGGUGGUGCUCGACUCCAGGCCUGCUUCCUGGUGCGCUGUCAAUGAUGAUGAGGUCCAGAUUGAGGAGUUGGUUCUACAGUCGCCGUUGCCCGACGGGUCUGCCGGCGAUGCACAUCUCCAGCUUGGUUGCUCUGUUGUGAAGGAUGUGGAAGAUAUUGAGGGCCUCACUGAAGGAUGUGAUGACGAGAAGACACCACAGAAGCUGCUUGGUCCAUCUUCAGAGUCGGCUUGCAUCGGCAUCUCUGCUGCCACUGCUGCUCUUGAAGCGGAGGCUGGCUGGGAGCAUGUGGAACGGGGACACCGUUCCGGCCGUGGUGCUCCCCCUGUGCCGUCGAGAGAAUGUCUUGAGCGUAGCCUCGCCUUCAAGCGUUGGGCUCGAGGAAGGUGCUUUCGUUGCCUCGAGCGUGGCCACCAAGUCCGUGCAUGUCAUGAUCCAUUCAGAUGCAUACGCUGUCGUUGCCCUGGUCAUCAUGAGAGGUUUUGUCGUGCUCACUCUCCGGUUGCUCGGGAUCGCUCUCCGGUCGCCCGCGUGAGCUCUCCGGUCUCUCAAGCUCAUCACCAGCGGAGCCGCUCCCCAUUUGUCCAGCCUUGUUCUUCGCUGACCAGGUGUUGGGCAGAGGUCGUGGGCAACUCGUCGCUGCAUGUGUCGGUGCCGCCAAGGUCCCAAUCUAGGUGUCGCCAGGAUUCCAAUGCCAGUGCCUUUUUGGUCUCUGCUUUGGAGUCCCAGUUUGCUUUGCUACGCACGGAGCUCCUUCAGGAGGUUGAGCUCCUCCGCACUGAGCUUCGUGACGCUCUUGCCAAGCUUCAGGUUGCUUCGGUUGUGCCUUUGGUGCCUGAGCUCCAGUCUGGUUCCAUUGAUGAGGUGGAUGAAUGCUUCUUUGGAGAAUUUUCUCCUCGUGCUUUGGAUGGGACGUCGUCUGUCCGUGGCGGUGUGGUCAUCACCGAGGUCGUGGCUCCUGUUCUGCAGAUUAUGCCUGAGCUGCAGGAGCUUUUUGGGGAAUCAGCUAUGGUGCAUCCGAUGAAGCCGGGCUCAUUGGAGUCCUUGGCCUCACCAUCACCGUCAGAGUCCUGCCAGCCGCUCGCCUUUGUGGAUAGUGGAUGUUCGGAUGGUUCUGUCACUCUCUCAUCUAUGCCCAUUGGGCAUGAGGUGUCCUUGAGUGACGAGGUUGAUGAGACAGGUGUGUUGGCGCCUAACUCUGAUGCUCUAUCAUGUGAGCAACUGGAGAUGUCUGAGUCCAUCGUGUCGGUUGCUUCUGUGGUUGAUGAUGUUCAGAUGAUUAAUAUGUUGGCUUCUGAUCCUUUGGAGCCUAGCCAGCCGCUCGCCUUUGUGGAGGAUGAAGGUUCUGAUGUUGCGGUAACCCACUCACACGUGACUGUCAGGCAGGUCUCUGUGCGUGAGAAGGUCGAUGACAUUCUCUUUCAGAUAGAGCUUCAUAGCUUGCUUAAACAUUUGGAGGCGGCUAGCCCUGGAUCUGGCAAGGCGAUUGUGGUGGAGGCUCUUAGGAGCAAAGGAAAGAAGAGUGACGCCACAAAAAAGGCGUCCGCGGCUGCUUAAUGGAUGAUCUUCAGUCUCUUGCGUUGUCCUUAUGGCCUGCAUUGUCUUUGUGGAUUUGGUGGUGUCCGUGGUCUCUAGCCAAGUUAGCCUCGUUUGGGGUGUCUUUGCGAUGUAGCAGUGUGGGGUUGAUGGUCUUUACGUGUUGGAUAUGGUUGUCGAGUGAGUAGUCCACAUGUGGUUGAUUUGUAUCGGUUUUUACCCGGUUUUUCGUUAAUUAACUGGGCAAUUCUCUUCUGCUUAAUUAAUCGAUGAGGCAAAUCUUUUGCCUCCGUUUUGAAAAAAAAUAUGUACUCUGUUUUAUCUCAACUUGUACCAUGUGCAAUACUUAAUGAUUACAGCUGGCAUGACAUCAAAGUUCUGAACGAAUAUUAGUUGUCCAACAAUUUGCAAAAAAAAAAAAAACUUGUCUCUUGCAAACUGACUCAAUAACUUCAAGGAAAAGUAAACGGAUAGGAGCUCAGUAGGAAUGUAGAGAUUGAAAAUCACACCUGAUAUAUCAUACUGAGUGAAUUUUCGCAUCAAUGAUCCAAAUCCAAGCAACAAAAAAAUCUUCAAUUUAGGAUACAGUUUCUCAUGUGCAAUUAGAUUUGAAACUGGACAAGCAAGCUAAAGGUCGUCAACUAGGAGCUAAAUACUUUUGUUCAAGUUCGUAGUUUGGGCAUCCAAACUACAAAAACAAAAAGAUUUUGACCUCAUUAUUUAAAAAACAGACUUUCAGUUUUUUUUUUUUACUUUGCUAGGGCAUUUUAACCUCCAAAUACAUUCCCAGAUCAUAUUUGAGCCUGCGGCUCCCAUCUCAUUGGUGCGCCUCAACUCUGACACAUGUUGAUGAUCCCACUGCGCAAAGUAGGCAGUUCCACCAGAAACCUGUCGUUCUUCAUCAAACUUCAUGCCACGAAAUGUUCCAUACCAUACGACGGUAAAGGAAUCGAGAGUAUACGCUGCACAUCAACCUACCAGAAAGUCUGCUUCACAAGCUCUACAUCCCAUUGUCUUGUGACGGGAUCAAUAAGGUCCCCAACUUUUGAAAGGAGAUUACCCCCAAUGGAUAGUCACAAUUUUCCGGUUCGUACCAUUUGGAACCCAUGCUUCUGUCCAUUUGGAAUCCAUCAUCACCCCCAUAAACAUCAUCACAAAUAGGUUAGCUCUGGCGUUGAAGCUAGCCUUUGGGUUGGUCCAACACCAACUAAAAGGUCCGAAUUCUGCAGGUCUGAUCGUCGAAUUCCACAUCAGGGUAGGUGGUGGAAGAAGAAUGCUGACAGAGCACACCCCUGCAAUGUCCGUGCUCACCUGCAUUGGCUUCUGCGGACUCAGUUGGUCAUCAGAUUUUAAGUUCUGGACCGUUCCUGAUAAGAUCUGGUCAGCACGGCUUUGAAUUUCUCCCUCUGCUUCGCCUAGAUGAAAUACUUCCUGUUGAUGCGGUGGCGCGGCCUUUCUUGUGUGCUACUGCAUGUGGAUUUGGUCAUGAUUAAAUUUAAGUUUUUUUCAUCUCACCCAACAACACCCAUUCCGGCACAAUGUGCCCACAGAUUUAUGCGUGCAUGGUGAUUUAAGAAGAACAAUAUGUAAAACCCCAUAGAUUCCGGCACGUUGUUCAAGCGAAGCGCCCAGUGCAUACAAGUUUACACCAAAUACAAAAAAACCCAGCACAUUGACGUACCAGCGAAGCACCGCGCAAGGACCCACUAGUCAUAUUCUGCU